AUGCUUUCUAUCAUCUGCUCUCCCCUUGUGAUACUCUUAAUGCCCAGAUGGAGCCAUGGAGACUCAGUGACCCAGACAGAAGGCCCGGUUAUUCUCUCAGAGUGGGCCCCUCUGAUCCUGAACUGCACGUACCAGACUACUUAUUCAGCUUCAUUUCUUUUCUGGUAUGUCCAGUAUUUCAACACAGCUCCUCAGCUCCUCCUGAAGAGCACUACAGAAAAUCAGCGGACAGAGAACCAAGGUUUUGAGGCCACUCUUGUCAAGAGCCACAGCUCCUUCCACCUGCAGAAACCCUCACUCCAGCUGGCAGACUCUGCUGUGUACUACUGUGCCCUGGGGACACAGUGA